AUCUAGAAACCCAGGUGUUUGACAAAACUAUAAGAUUUUAUCGAAAUGUCGUACAACUCUGAAUGAGAAUAAGGUAGACCUUACUAUAAAACGUAAUGUUGAAGCUGUUUGCCGUAUUUAAAAGUGAUUGAUGUAUAAAUGCAAUUUCGUAAAACAAAAAACUUUGACGCAUCGAAUAUAUUAGGAACCCUCUCCGUCGGAUGACUUGCAAGUGAUAGUGAGGAAAUUAUCAAAUUCAAACAUUUUUCAAUUUUUAACCAAGCCCAGAAUUCGUCUGACCAUACAGAUGUUUCGGUAACCGCCUAUCAUCUUUUGGAAAUAUUUGUUGAUUUUAUUGUUCGUGCAUAUUUUUAG